UUUAAAUCAAAGGAUCAUUACUUUCAAUUUGUCCAUAUAAUCCCGUUUUAAAUUUGCAAAAACUUCACCGCUCUGAAUAAAUUGUUUGCGAAAAGGACAUGGUGUUUCAUAAUGUACAAUUUGCUGCCUGAGCAGCUAUCUGGCAAUGUGGACGAAGCCGCACAGAUCCGUGCUAGACCAUUAACUAAACAAUAUUAUUUGUAUCGAUGCUGACGUAUUUUUCGAUUUGUUAAAUAAAGGAUAGAUUUGACAUAGCGA